UGGGGCUCCUGCUGCUGCCGGGAGACUUGGAAAAGAGAAUGAGAGAUUUGGAAAAGAGAAUGAAAGAACUCCAGGAGGAAAAGCGUGAGUUUUCCUAUUUUACUCAGUAGUUACAGUUGACUAACCAAACUUCGUGUGCCCUGUAUUGGUUGCAACAACUUCAGCGACAGUAGGGAAACUAUCAUUGCAUGCUCCGUGGAUCUGGGAAGUGGGGGGGAGGUCUGUGUAGAUUACUAUUGAA